rnacentral:rRNA from 1 species
AUUGAACGCUGGCGGCAUGCGUAACACAUGCAAGUCGAACGGUGUUUGGUGCUUGCACCAGACAUAGUGGCGGACGGGUGAGUAAUGCGUAGGAAUCUGUCUUAGAGAGGGGGACAACCCGAGGAAACUUGGGCUAAAACCGCAUAUUCUCGAGAGAGGAAAGCAGGGGACCGGAAACGGCCUUGUGCUCUAAGGUGAGCCUACGUCGGAUUAGCUAGUUGGUAGGGUAAAAGCCUACCAAGGCGAUGAUCUGUAGCUGGUCUGAGAGGACGGACAGCCACACUGGGACUGAGACACGGCCCAGACUCCUACGGGAGGCAGCAGUGGGGAAUAUUGGACAAUGGGGGGAACCCUGAUCCAGCGAUGCCGCGUGUGUGAAGAAGGCCUGCGGGUUGUAAAGCACUUUCAGUGGGAAAGAGAAGCGUCUUGUGAAUAAUGGGACGUGGAGACGUUACUCACAGAAGAAGCACCGGCUAACUCUGUGCCAGCAGCCGCGGUAAUC